UUUUCGAAAGCACAGUUGCUGUUUAUGUUGUGAUGAUGAUGAGAAGGGCAGCAGCAACGGUGGCGGCGACACCAAACGAAAUAAUUUAUGUAGAGGAUUCACCUCCACCACCACCGCUGAUACCGAUAGCAUCGAACGAAAUCAUGUACAUGAAUACCGAUAGUGAAGAGGAGGAGGAAGAGGAGGAGGAGGAGGAGGAGGAGGAGGAUGAUGAUGAGGAGGAUGAGGAUGAGGGGAAUGGAAGCGAAAGCACGCUAUACUACCCUCAAGGACAAGAUUGGAGAGAUAGUCCUGUAUCUCCCUCAGAACAACCUCCUCCCCCAGUUUCACCCUUCAUCGAAGUAUUUGAUAUCGAUUUUUAGAUGCUAUCAAUGAAAUUUCGGCGCUAGUGAAAAAAGCUAGUUUCGGCGGUGUUGGUGGUGUGGUAAAAAUGACUUCUGAAAGUAGUUCCAUCUCAGAUGUAUCCGCUAUAGAGCUUCUACCCAUAGCGAGAGAUCAAGAUUUUCCAAAUCAAGUAUUUGACCACUAUAGCAGCAAAGAAUCAAUUAAUGAAAUAAAUCUCAUUCAGCACAACUUAAAAGCUCUCAUACGGUCACGUAAAGAACAAAGAUUUAUAGAUUAUUUUCUAUCAAACGAAGCGGAUGUUAGAGAUAAUUUUGAUAGUGAUGGUUGUUUUCGUUUGGCUUGUGAUGGAAAUUUGACAGAAAUCAUAAUAUUUUUGGUACUAAAAGGAAUCAAACCAAUCCUUGAAAAUAAUAAUCCAUUGUACAUCGCAUCCGAAAACGGAAAUUUAAACUCCGAUAUACUCCGAUGCAUUACGCCGCAAAAUACGCGAAUCUAGAGACGAUUAUUACUCUAUUGAAACGAGGUGCUCGAUUGGAUAUUAAAAAUGAGGUUGAAGUUAUGCCUAUCGAUAAUAUCUACACAGAGGAUUUAGAAGAACAUUUAGAUAGCUGUAUAAAAAGGCGAUCAUUCCUGAAAAAGGAAUGAUCGGAAGAAUCGAAGGUUUUAACAUUCGAUUAUACAACGUUGUUUUCUGUUAAAUCGUCAGAAACAGAAGUAAUCCUGCGUAUAGGUAAAAAUCCCAAACUGCAUCAUUUAUUACAUCACCCGCUUAUUUCGACGAUAUUCUAUCUUAAGUGUUUUAAAAUGGAACGGUUAUUUAGGAUUAAUUGUGUAUUUCAUUCGUUGUUUGUGGCCUAUUUAAUCGGUCAUAUUUGUACUGAAAGAUAUACCGAUAAUAAUUAUGGUUUUAUCUAUCUAUUAAGCAUUACUUAUGUUAUAUUCCUCAUAAAAGAAUUUCUACAAAUGUACUUACAUACUUACGAUUACAUAAUGGACCCUGAAAAUUAUUUAGAUUUUUUUAUAUUGUUUUCAACAGGUUAUUAUAAUGAAAUAUUGGCCGCAGCUAUUUUCUCGUCUUCACUUAAAAUGAUGUUUUUAAUUGCUCGAAUUCUGCAUUUUUCCACUUACGUUUCCAUUUUUAAAACGGUUUCGUGGAAUUUUUUUAAAUUUGUAUUAUGGGCUUCAAUUUUACUUGUGGCCUUCACUUUUGCAUUUUACAUUAUUUAUCGUAAAUCAUACGAAAAUAGUACUGAACAUAAAAACGAAACAUUUUUUGAUAAUCCAAUUUCAACAUAUAUUAAAGUGAUCGCGAUGUUUUCCGGCGAACUUGAUACUGGAUCGUUAUUACAAGACGGAAAUUUAAGCUCAGUUUUAGACAUAAUAAUUUUCGUAUUUUUUAUUUUCUUCGUAACAAUAACACUUUCUAACGUAAUCAACGGUUUGUUAGCGAUAUUCAGACGAUAAAAGCAAAAGCUGAAAUCUUAAAUGUGAUAGAGCGAAUCAAUCUCGUAGCAAAACUGGAAAUGGUGCUACGUGAUGAUAAUGUUUUAUCAAAAUGUUUAAGAAUUUUCGUUCGUGAUACCAUGUCAAUUCAUGAUUGUUCCACAUGUAUUCGGUUAAAUCGAAAGAUCUCUAUGUUUUCCGAAAAUCGCAUAUCGAUCUUUUCUUAUACCAACGGAACGCAUCAUCAUAUAUCAAUGAAACUUUCAGCUUCAACAUGUCGAAUUGUGAACGAAUGUGGACAUUAUAGUCCACCUCAAAUAUCUUUCAAUAGAAACAUUAUUAGAAGUACUGAAAAUAUUAUUUCAAUACGUUCGAGGAAAUAAAUUAUUUCUAAGACAUAGAUAUUGGACAAUGAAGAAUUCGAAAAUUUUUUAUAUUUGUUAAUAUCGUAAUUAUUAAUUUUAUUGUAUGAAACAGAAAUGAAAUUAUUGUGUUCUGUUUGUUUAAUAUCGCGGGUAUAAUCUUGUUCCGUAGUUAUAUUUCGAAUGGAAUUGUUUUUGUAAUUUUAAAGUUUAACUAGUUUCAUUUUAGCUGCUUUUAUAUUUUGCUUAAUGUACUUUUAUUUUAACUCUG
rnacentral:lncRNA from 1 species